rnacentral:rRNA from 1 species
AGAGUUUGAUCCUGGCUCAGAUUGAACGCUGGCGGCAUGCCUUACACAUGCAAGUCGAACGGCAGCACGGGGGCAACCCUGGUGGCGAGUGGCGGACGGGUGAGUAAAGCAUCGGAACGUAUCCUGGAGUGGGGGAUAACGUAACGAAAGUUACGCUAAUACCGCAUAUUCUGUGAGCAGGAAAGCAGGGGAUCGCAAGACCUUGCGCUCUGGGAGCGGCCGAUGUCGGAUUAGCUAGUUGGUGGGGUAAAGGCCUACCAAGGCGACGAUCCGUAGCGGGUCUGAGAGGAUGAUCCGCCACACUGGGACUGAGACACGGCCCAGACUCCUACGGGAGGCAGCAGUGGGGAAUUUUGGACAAUGGGCGGAAGCCUGAUCCAGCCAUGCCGCGUGAGUGAAGAAGGCCUUCGGGUUGUAAAGCUCUUUCGGCGGGGAAGAAAUUGCACGGGUUAAUACCCUGUGUAGAUGACGGUACCCGAAUAAGAAGCACCGGCUAACUACGUG